rnacentral:rRNA from 1 species
UACGAAGGGUGCAAGCGUUACUCGGAAUUACUGGGCGUAAAGCGUGCGCAGGCGGUUAUAUAAGACAGUUGUGAAAUCCCCGGGCUCAACCUGGGAACUGCAUCUGUGACUGUAUAGCUAGAGUACGGUAGAGGGGGAUGGAAUUCCGCGUGUAGGCAGUGAAAUGCGUAGAUAUGCGGAGGAACACCGAUGGCGAAGGCAAUCCCCUGGACCUGUACUGACGCUCAUGCACGAAAGCGUGGGGAGCAAACAGG